rnacentral:rRNA from 1 species
UCAAGUAAUUAAGUGCAUGUGGUGGAUGCCUUGGCAGUCAGAGGCGAUGAAAGACGUGAUAGCCUGCGAAAAGCUCCGGGGAGGCGGCAAAUAUCCUUUGAUCCGGAGAUGUCUGAAUGGGGGAACCCACCUACUUUAAGGUAGGUAUUGCAACAUGAAUACAUAGUGUUGCAAGGCGAACGAGGGGAAGUGAAACAUCUCAGUACCCUUAGGAAAAGAAAUCAAUUGAGAUUCCCUCAGUAGCGGCGAGCGAACGGGGAUCAGCCCAUUAAGUUAUGUGUGUUUUAGUGGAACGCUCUGGGAAGUGCGAACGUAGAGGGUGAUAUUCCCGUACACGAAAGGGCACACAUAAUGAUGACGAGUAGGGCGAGGCACGUGAAACCUUGUCUGAAUAUGGGGGGACCAUCCUCCAAGGCUAAAUACUCCUGACUGACCGAUAGUGAACCAGUACCGUGAGGGAAAGGCGAAAAGAACCCCUGUGAGGGGAGUGAAAUAGAUCCUGAAACCGCAUGCAUACAAGCAGUGGGAGCACCUUCGUGGUGUGACUGCGUACCUUUUGUAUAAUGGGUCAGCGACUUAUAUUCAGUAGCAAGGUUAACCGUAUAGGGGAGCCGUAGAGAAAUCGAGUCUUAAUAGGGCGUUUAGUUGCUGGGUAUAGACCCGAAACCAGGCGAUCUAUCCAUGAGCAGGUUGAAGGUUGGGUAACACUAACUGGAGGACCGAACCCACUGUCGUUGAAAAGCCAGGGGAUGACUUGUGGAUAGGGGUGAAAGGCUAAUCAAGCCUGGUGAUAGCUGGUUCUCCCCGAAAGCUAUUUAGGUAGCGCCUCGGACGAAUACCAUAGGGGGUAGAGCACUGUUUCGGCUAGGGGGUCAUCCCGACUUACCAAACCGAUGCAAACUCCGAAUACCUAUGAGUACUAUCCGGGAGACAGACUGCGGGUGCUAACGUCCGUAGUCAAGAGGAAAACAAUCCAGACCGCCAGCUAAGGCCCCAAAAUCAUAGUUAAGUGGGAAACGAUGUGGGAAGGCAUAGACAGCUAGGAGGUUGGCUUAGAAGCAGCCACCCUUUAAAGAAAGCGUAAUAGCUCACUAGUCGAGUCGGCCUGCGCGGAAGAUGUAACGGGGCUAAAACUAUGUGCCGAAGCUGCGGAUUUGACAUUAGUCAAGUGGUAGGGGAGCGUUCUGUAAGCCGAUGAAGGUGUAUUGAGAAGUAUGCUGGAGGUAUCAGAAGUGCGAAUGCUGACGUGAGUAACGACAAAACGGGUGAAAAACCCGUAUACUUUGUAUACGUGGUAGGGGAGCGUUCUGUAAGCCGAUGAAGGUGUGUUGAGAAGCAUGCUGGAGGUAUCAGAAGUGCGAAUGCUGACGUGAGUAACGACAAAACGGGUGAAAAACCCGUUCGCCGAAAGACCAAGGGUUCCAGUCCAACGUUAAUCGGGGCUGGGUGAGUCGACCCCUAAGGCGAGGCCGAAAGGCGUAGUCGAUGGGAAAAUGGUUAAUAUUCCAUUACUUCUGUGUAAUGCGAUGAGAGGACGGAGAAGGCUAAAUCAGCCUGGCGUUGGUUGUCCAGGUGAAAGGAUGUAGGCAUGUAUCUUAGGCAAAUCCGGGGUACUCUAUGCUGAGAUCUGAUAGCAAGCUGUACUUGUACAGCGAAGUGGUUGAUGCCAUGCUUCCAGGAAAAGUCUCUAAGCUUCAGUUACACAGGAAUCGUACCCGAAACCGACACAGGUGGUCAGGUCGAGUAGACCAAGGCGCUUGAGAGAACUCUGCUGAAGGAACUAGGCAAAAUGGUACCGUAACUUCGGGAGAAGGUACGCUGUUGUUGGUGAUGGAACUCGCUUCCUGAGCUGACGACAGCCGCAGAAACCAGGCCGCUGCAACUGUUUAUUAAAAACAUAGCACUCUGCAAACACGAAAGUGGACGUAUAGGGUGUGAUGCCUGCCCGGUGCUGGAAGGUUAAUUGAUGGGGUUAGCGUAAGCGAAGCUCUUGAUCGAAGCCCCAGUAAACGGCGGCCGUAACUAUAACGGUCCUAAGGUAGCGAAAUUCCUUGUCGGGUAAGUUCCGACCUGCACGAAUGGCAUAAUGAUGGCGGCGCUGUCUCCAGCAGAGGCUCAGUGAAAUCGAAAUCGCUGUGAAGAUGCAGUGUACCCGCGGCUAGACGGAAAGACCCCGUGAACCUUUACUGCAGCUUGACACUGAACUUUGACCUUACUUGUGUAGGAUAGGUGGGAGGCUUUGAAGCUGGAACGCUAGUUCCAGUGGAGCCGUCCUUGAAAUACCACCCUGGUAAUGUUGAGGUUCUAACUCUGUCCCGUGAUCCGGGACGAGGACCGUGUCUGGUGGGUAGUUUGACUGGGGCGGUCUCCUCCUAAAGAGUAACGGAGGAGUACGAAGGUGCGCUCAGCGUGGUCGGAAAUCACGCGUAGAGUAUAAAGGCAAAAGCGCGCUUAACUGCGAGACCCACAAGUCGAGCAGGUACGAAAGUAGGUCUUAGUGAUCCGGUGGUUCUGUAUGGAAGGGCCAUCGCUCAACGGAUAAAAGGUACUCUGGGGAUAACAGGCUGAUACCGCCCAAGAGUUCAUAUCGACGGCGGUGUUUGGCACCUCGAUGUCGGCUCAUCUCAUCCUGGGGCUGAAGCAGGUCCCAAGGGUAUGGCUGUUCGCCAUUUAAAGAGGUACGCGAGCUGGGUUUAGAACGUCGUGAGACAGUUCGGUCCCUAUCUACCGUGGGCGCUGGAAAUUUGAGAGGAUCUGCUCCUAGUACGAGAGGACCAGAGUGGACGAACCUCUGGUGUACCGGUUGUGACGCCAGUCGCAUCGCCGGGUAGCUAUGUUCGGAAGGGAUAACCGCUGAAAGCAUCUAAGCGGGAAGCCUACCUCAAGAUAAGAUUUCCCUAGGACUUUAUGUCCUCUAAAGAGCCGUUCGAGACUAGGACGUUGAUAGGUUGGAUGUGGAAGCAUAGUGAUAUGUGAAGCUGACCAAUACUAAUUGCUCGUGAGGCUUGACUAU